GAUGAACGCUGGCGGCGUGCCUAAUACAUGCAAGUCGAGCGAACGGACGAGAAGCUUGCUUUUCUGAUGUUAGCGGCGGACGGGUGAGUAACACGUGGAUAACCUACCUAUAAGACUGGGAUAACUUCGGGAAACCGGAGCUAAUACCGGAUAAUAUUUUGAACCGCAUGGUUCAAAAGUGAAAGACGGUCUUGCUGUCACUUAUAGAUGGAUCCGCGCUGCAUUAGCUAGUUGGUAAGGUAACGGCUUACCAAGGCAACGAUGCAUAGCCGACCUGAGAGGGUGAUCGGCCACACGGGAACUGAGACACGGUCCAGACUCCUACGGGAGGCAGCAGUAGGGAAUCUUCCGCAAUGGGCGAAAGCCUGACGGAGCAACGCCGCGUGGGUGAUGAAGGUCUUCGGAUCGUAAAACUCUGUUAUUAGGGAAGAACAUAUGUGUAAGUAACUGUGCACAUCUUGACGGUACCUAAUCAGAAAGCCACGGCUAACUACGUG
rnacentral:rRNA from 1 species